rnacentral:lncRNA from 1 species
CAAAAGAAGCAUGAGAGAAGUGUGAAAAUCAAGAAUGGAGUUUUCAUUUUCUGAAUUCAAGAUUCCUCUAUUUUCAGAAGAUCAAAUGAGGAACUGUCACCUUGCAGGGAACAGCUGUUUUCUGUGGCAGAUGGGAAGAAGGGAUGUGGCCAAUGACAAUUAUCCCUUAAAGCUGCCCCGGAAUUGACACGUCUCUUUGCUCCUACCUCUUUGAAUGAACUAGUCUCAUGCCCAUGCUGACUCCAAGGGGCCAAGAGAUGCAAUCCAACCAUCUGACUGGGACGAACCAGAAGGAUAACUCUGGAAACAUUGCGUCGACUGGUUUGGAAGGGAAGCAAGAUGGCGGCAAUGAGAAGAUACUGAGUGCUCUUUUUUGGAACCACCUUGUUUCCUCUGAACUUUACAACAUUACUGUUAUGCUAAUGGAGAAAGAAGAGGUCUGUGUUCGCCAAUAAUGUGAAAGUAUUUGAACUUGAGGAAGAUGGCUGGAAAAUAUUAGCUGUUAUUUCUUAUCAUGAAAACAGACUUGAAGCAGAAUCUCUCCAUUCUUUGCUCAUUCUCCUGGAUGCUUGGAAGUGUUAGGAUCAGACAAGAUAACUCCAUGAUCAUAUUUGAUAAGCAGAUCAGCCUCAUCUGUGAAGAUGGUGAUGGUGGUCAUGGUGGUGAUGAUGACGACAGUGGUGAUGGUGAGGUGCUGAUGAGGGUAAUGAUGAUGACGAUGAUGAUAGUGACGAUGAUUUCGUCUCUGUCCCCACUGAUCUAUUAAAAACCUUAAGAAGCUUUUAGGUCUCAGCUACUGCGACGACGACUAGUCAGUGAUCAAAACAAUUGAGUUCAAAGAAGACAUGAUCAAAGACGAGUGGCUUGCUCCGUGUGGUGUCUCCACUGCUUGGAAGUGUUUUUGCUUUAACAUUCAUCCUCCGUUAUUGGAUGGUGAUGGCUGAAGUGGUGGCCAGUAGCCCAUUCUUGACUAUUGUGGACAGACACGGAGAAACCGAUGUAGGCAAAAUGGGCCCUUGUGAUUCCAGAGCAUACUGAAGAUCCUGCCAACUUUCAGAGAUCACGUGAUAUAUUUUAUGCUAAAGAGAAACUGAGAAAACAAGAAAAUAGGGAUUCUCUGCCUAGCAUGUGCAAAUUAGAACCACCACCUCUGCUUUCUCUAGUAAUUACAUCACAGUGGACUGGUUAGAUUUCAAUAUAAGUUUACACACACAAGCACACACAUGAGAGAACAGUAUAAAAGUUUUCUUUGAUGUUGUUACUGAUGUCAACCUCUAUAAGCUUUAGAAUAUGUGCUAAUUUUUGAUAAAGAGGUGUGUAUAUAUACAAAAAUAUAGUAUAUAAAAA